rnacentral:lncRNA from 1 species
UUGCCAUUUUUUUCUGUUCUUCUUGACAACACAAGCGCGGUUGGGGAAUUUAUUAUGAGGGGGGAAGCAAGUGGAAACUCCCAAAACAGUCUGAGCAUACCCGCCAGCAUUAGGGACUUUUAUUUCAGAAAUUUUGCUACCGCAGCCUAUAAAAAUUACCGACAACCGAUUGCACAGCCCAUUUCCCAGUCGAAAAGAUACACACAGAGUGGUACAAUGUUGUAAUGUAGCCUAUAUCGUUCUGUCAAAUUAACAAUUAUGUUACAAUGUAACGAAAAAUGCGAGAUUUUACCUGAAAGGAGCUUACAACUUCAGUUACAUGCUCUUAGCAAAUCUAUGUCAUGCUGUGCAGUGGAAAGGCUGUGCGUGUACUUGUUGAGCUCCAGGACCAUCACAGAGUAUGAGAGCCAGGUGAUCUGGUCCCAGAGAACAGACAUGGAGAAGGCUGCCAAACUGCUCCAGGUGGUGCUGAAGAAGGGUCGCAACGCCUGUCUUCUCUUUUUCGACUCACUAGAAAAGUGUUGCCAGUGCCCACCACAGUUCGAAAGAGUUACCGGUCUCCCAGAGAGGAGGAGGACCAACACUGCCCCAACUUACGUCAUCAACAUCAGCCAUUCCAAUUUGAGUAACUGCAUCAUUGGAGAUGGCAACUUUCAAGGAGUGACAACGUGUAUACAACAACCUCAGAGCAUGGGUUCAGAGGAUGCUAGGCAUGAGACAAUGGGAGGCAACAUCACCAGUGAUCACCAGAGAGCAGUACAGGCCUGUCUAGAUCCAGAGCUCCAGAGGAGUGUCCAGGUCUAUGGGUCCCAACUGCAGUAUGUCAUCAUCGGGGACAACAACAACCUGCAAGCUGAAGACACACCGGAAGAGGAAGAAGGGGAAGAAGAAAAACUCAUUAAUGAAAAUGCCAUCUCCUGCUGUUGUGCGCUUGAGCAAGUUACUGCACCACAGGCGACCGUGGCUCUCAAUCUCCAUGAGUGA